rnacentral:lncRNA from 1 species
AGUUUUUCCAUGGAAAAGCUGAAUCCAUGGACAGCUGUCCAGGGAUGAAGGCAGGGAUAUCAUGGACAUUGUCCAUGGAAAGUGAAUAGCAGCAUGGACAUGGUCCAUGGUCAGCUUUUCUGUUCACACUUAGAAAUUCUCUGAUGAAUAAGGCAGAAAAAGUUCUAAGUCGAAAAAAUGGGAUUUUUUUUUAAAAAUUAUUAAUUCAUUACUGUCCUUAGUUUUAUGGUCAUAUAGGUAUUCAAAUUAAUUGAAAUGAAACAAGGAAUGUAACUAAAUAAAAUGUUUUCAUUUUGAAUAUUAAAAAAAAAAUGUAAAUUAGAAUUAUAUCAUUUUAUUAAUUCAUCUUGACAGUUGAUGUAACAAGAUAUCAUACAUCAUUGAAAAUAUAUCCCACUAUAUAAGCUAUUUAUUUCUUUCAGUUUGUUAAUGAACAUCUCAAACAAUGGCACCAAAAAAAAAUACAGUAGUUCAUAAGGAUUAAAUGUCAUAUAGUCAAAGAAAUUGUUAUGAAAUUAUGCUCAUAUAUGUAAACUCAUCAUAUUAUAAACUGAAUUAGUCUAUGCCUUUGAUAAUCCAGGCAGUGAUUAAUUAUCUAGCUUUUACAGCCAGUAAUACACUGCUGUUCAAUGUGUACUGUUGUAUAUAUGAACACACAGAGAUAGCUGAUAACAUCUGGAGAUUCUGACCAAGAUAAAGACCAAUGGAAAUGCAGGCUUCUGAAGCCGUUUUACACAUGUAGCCCCAAGAAAUAAUCCCAAUACUUUUUUAUUUUUUUCUGUGAUCUUUGCAAAUUCUGUGAGCAAAUAAAUGGAAAAAUUCUCAUGAACUGUAUUAUAUAUUUUAAGAACAUUCCAGAUAUUCCCUUCAGUAACUAUACUGUACCAAGGAAUAUUGCUCAUGAAUACAAAAAUUUGAAUGUAAACAGGAAGUGCUUUGUUCUAGAUGUUGGAGGCAAAAUGGAAUGGAGCUAAAUAAUUUUGUACCUUGAAAUUCUAAAAUGCUUUUAGAGAGAUAUCAGAUGCAAGAGUGUACAUAUUUAGUUAUUAGAAGCAUUGUCUUCAACAUGUAUGAAUGAAAUGAUGUAAUCAGAGAUAUUUGAUGGCUUUAGUGACUAUGCUACUGGAUGAAAUGAGAUCACAGACAGAGACCCCAUCAAACACUAAACUAAAUGGCUGGAAUGACGUUCCUGACCCUGGUGAUGGUUUUAGCAAAGCUAUAAGAGACAUUCUAGUGCCACCUAUAUUGAGCCAACAUAACUCCAAAAAUGAUUUUGUUGUAUUCAUAACUUUAUAUUAAAUCAUUUUUAUAUUUAA